UUUAUGUGAGGGAAACCUAUAGAAGCAGGUUUGGGACUGUGUCCUUCCACGGUGCUUGUCUAAGUCUGCUAGCUGCCCAUGGGGAUACUUCCAGUGGACAUCCCUCAACUUAGGGGCCCAGCUGACCCCCAGGUCCAGCUGUCUGACCCGUAGAUGGAUCCUCAGAGAAGGACUCCUGGGGGCCCAGAGUGAAGCUUUGAUGGUGGCUCCCCCAGGACCGAAGAUGGCCCCCACGCCACCCUCCUCACAGCACCACUGUCCCCUGCUGGACCCACAUGGUGGCAGAAACACCACAAAAGCCAUGGUGUCCCUUUUACUUCGGACUGCUCAUUUUAUCAAGUAAAGGAGCCAGGUGUCCACUGCUCCUCUGCAAAUCAACACACAGAUCAUAUGGCCACGGGGCAUAGAGGAGACUGAGCAAACAUGAGAAGAACAAUACAGGCUGGCCGGCUGUUCCAAGAAGGAAGAGAACAGACAUGUGGAGCAAAGCUUCCAGCCAAUCCCAACCAGGAGUACAGCCUGCCACUGACCUGCAGACCGAUAAGUUUUAGUUAUAUAUGAUUGUUGGUUUAAGCCACAGAGUUUGGGAAAUAGUUUGUUACACAGCAGUAGCUAACUGAUACAGCAAAAAUAAAUCAGUAAAUAAGUUGUAGAAUUUGAAUUAGAAUCCAGGUCUUUAAACAUACAGUUCUUUUGACUUUUGACUAUGCUUAGUUGCUUUUCAUGCAGAGAGAUUUUUAUUUGAGUGUAAAGAUGGAGCAUUUUUAGUUAGGGUUCAUGUCAUACUCAUCUUUGAUUCCUCAGUACCUAGCCUACUACCUUGCACAUUGUAGGUACUCGGGAUAUGUUUAUUAAGCAAAUAAAAGAUAAAAAUAUCAGAAAGGUACCUCUAUUCUUUUGUUUGGUUUUUAAAAAUUCUUAAUUUUUUAACAGAUUCUUUUUAAUAAAAAUAAAGUAAAAAAGGAAGGUACAUUACAUAUGAUCAGUUUAAGCUUCUAAAAAUAGGUCCCAGUAACCACACAAAGAGGGCACAAUCAUCAUUUUCUUUUCUGACAUCUGUCCAUAUGCAGCAUAUUUCCUCUCUGAAGAAAGAUCAAACCCCAUAAAAUGCAUCAUUUAUAUGCCACUCCCCAUUAUGAAGCAGCAUGGAGACCAUUAAUGAGAAGCAGAGGCUAAAAGAAGAGUUUCAAGAGUUGCUUUCAGGCAGACUGCGGCAAAAGGCACAGUCCUUUGGGAAUUGCACACAGGCACAUAGGACAAACAUGGACUAGAAACCAGAACUCUGACUCUUACUAUGCUAUCAAAAUGUCUUCUGACUCCACAUUUGCUUGCAGGAGGGGAACUAAAGAAGUAAGACAGGGGUUUCCUGCUCCAUGUUUGUGAUCUUCAUGAUAAGCUUCAUGGAGUCCACCAGAAAAAUCUCUUGGCAGAAACGCAUAGGCAUUCUCAGUGAGCAUCCUUCCGUGUCAACAGAGGUGCCGGGUCUGAAACUAUUUCAGGUGCCAAGGGUGGCCGGUCCUCAACUCUGGUGCUACCACUUGUCAUCACCCUCACCCCAGGAGACAUUUCGAAGAGAUUUCAGCACUGCCGCCUGCUAAGCCUAUAAAUGGCCCCAGAUCCUCCCAACAGAGUCCUCCAGACAGCCGCUACUUCUUGAUCAGUGUUAAUGCAAACUAAUUGCCAUCCUUGCUCUAAAACUUUUUAAUUUUUAACAUGCCAGUAAAAUAACUUUAUCCAAAUCUUUGCAGAAUUCUGAUAAAGAUACUGCCAUCUUC